rnacentral:lncRNA from 1 species
GAAGGUGCAAGGGUGAUCACGUCUGGUGAUCAAAAGAAAGUAGAAUGGCAAGACAGAAAGCUGGUUUAUUAGGUCAGCAAGAAAGAGAAAGAAAGAAGGUCAUAGCCGCGCCGCAAGAAAGAGAAAGAAAGUAAGAUUGUUCCGACGGGAGAAAGAAAGUAAGACCAAGGAAGACUGCUGUCAGAAAGAUUGUUCCGACGGGAGAAAGAAGAAAGAGACCGUGGCCGGAGAUUGAUUUCUGGCGUGAGACCGAGAAGACCGAAGAAGCCGCACGAGAUGGCUUGAAGAAAAGUAGACCGAAGGAGGCAAUCGAGACCAGUGGUUCGCCUGAGAAAGAAAGACCGAUAAGUUACAAGAAAGAUAGGCGGCUAAACUAGACCGAGACCGUGGGUGUGACAUUAACCGAAGGUUCGCACCAAGAUAAACCGAGAAAGAUCGUAGACCGAAAGAAGCUUUUAUCGAAAGAAAGCUUAGACCGCAAGACCGAAAUUGUGAACAAAGACCGAGAGUUCACAUUAGAUCGAGUCGUGAACCGAAGACCGAAAGUGUUCACGUUAGAAAGAAAGAGAAGACCGAAACUAUAGCGGACCUACAAGGUUCGUGUAGCAAGUAUGUUUGAGCCAUGUGUGGUUCGUAGUAAGAAACAAGAAUGGAAGUCAAGAUUAAGGGGGUGAAUUGGUCAUGGAGAAGUGGUCUUGAUUUGACCGAAGGUGGUGGAAUAUGGACGUUGAGGGCAUGCAAAUGUUUAGAGUAUAGUUUUGAAUAA